rnacentral:hammerhead_ribozyme from 1 species
GUACUGAUGAAGAGUCCCAAACUAAGACUAAACAGUUGUCCAGUAC